UACGAAGGGGGCUAGCGUUGCUCGGAAUCACUGGGCGUAAAGCGCACGUAGGCGGAUUGUUAAGUCAGGGGUGAAAUCCUGGAGCUCAACUCCAGAACUGCCUUUGAUACUGGCGAUCUUGAGUCCGGGAGAGGUGAGUGGAACUGCGAGUGUAGAGGUGAAAUUCGUAGAUAUUCGCAAGAACACCAGUGGCGAAGGCGGCUCACUGGCCCGGGUACUGACGCUGAGGUGCGGAAAGCGUGGG
rnacentral:rRNA from 1 species